AGCCUCGUAGCUCAGCUGGUAGAGCGUGCGCGUACGAAGCGUAGGCGGCGUCCAUGCGUGGGUUCAAAUCCCACCGAGGUUA
rfam:Echinostoma caproni strain Egypt genome assembly, scaffold: ECPE_scaffold0003842